AUCAAAAAUGCAUAAGCUGUAAAGCUGUCUCACGGUUAUGAAAAAUACGUUCCUUUAAUUGCAAAAGAAACAGAAGAUGAUCAACUUUUCGAUACAGGGGAAGUUUUGGACCAGUCUGUUCAGCAUUGCAGAUAGUGGUAAUGACUGAUACAUUGUGAAUCGGAAAUGAAGUUACCAUGGCAAUGAAACAAAGAAAUAAACUUGAAUAUAAAAGCAUUACACAAUAAAACACCAUGACAGAGAAGCUAUUCUAAAUAUUGGUA